UACGGAGGGAGCUAGCGUUGUUCGGAAUUACUGGGCGUAAAGCGCACGUAGGCGACUACUCAAGUCAGAGGUGAAAGCCCAGGGCUCAACCCUGGAACUGCCUUUGAAACUAGGUAGCUAGAAUCUUGGAGAGGUCAGUGGAAUUCCGAGUGUAGAGGUGAAAUUCGUAGAUAUUCGGAAGAACACCAGUGGCGAAGGCGACUGACUGGACAAGUAUUGACGCUGAGGUGCGAAAGCGUGGGGAGCAAACAGG
rnacentral:rRNA from 1 species